GGACUGUGGCUCAGCGGUAGUGCACUCGCUUGGCAUGUGUGGGGGGACUGGGUUCGAUUCUCAGCACCA
rnacentral:tRNA from 1 species